rnacentral:lncRNA from 1 species
GAGGCCAAAAUCCAAAACGGAGAAUAACUAUAUUUUUACCAAAAAUCUUGCAUGGUGUUUAGUUCUAUUUUGUAAAAUGAUGAACCAAUUUUUUGAGAAAAAAAAGGAAACUAAACACCCCUAACAUCAAUGAUGGUUUCGCAAAAUUGGGCACCAAUAGUAUUAGAGACGUUCGAUCCUAUUCUUUAGUCGGUUGGCUAGCUGAACUGAACGUGAUCAGAGCCAGAAUUUAGACAAGGCAACAACGAAAUCAGUGCUGCUUUUGAGAUUUUUUUAGAAAAAAAACUAAAAACAAAAAAAAUAUCGAACGCUCCAAUAAAAAAUAUAUUUCUAAAGAAAAAUGAAAGCGGACACGCCAAAAUGAGGCACUAAACUAACCAUACCGUAAAUAUCGUCGUGCCCUACUUUAAACCGUUUAAACGGAAAAAAGUCUACAUCACCCUGGACUAUGGGGUGGUGUCUACUUUACCCCCAAACUAUGAAACGGUCUAAUUUAUUCUCUAAACUAUCUAAAACCGUUCAAAUCACCCCUCGGACAGUUUUUACGGCGGUUUUGCUACAGUAACUGUGGUUUUGACUUUUCUUUUUUUCCUAUUUGUUUUCAUAUAAUCUUUGAAAAAUUAUAGUAAAUCACAGAAAAAUCAUAAAAUAGAAAAUCUAAUUUUAUUGGACUCCGCAUGAGUAAAUCUACGCAAUGAAUAUAUAAUAUAGUAUACUUUAGUAUAAAUUUCAUACUCAUUGAUCAUAUAUAACUUAGUUAUAGAUUUAUUUAGGUUUAUGCUUAUUAAAUAUAAAUAAAUCUAUAACUAAAUUAUACAUGAUCCGAUGAGUAUGAACUAUUUACUAUAGUUCAAGCAUAGAAUAAUUAGUCCACCAUAAAAAUUUCACCACAAUUGGACCAUAGAAGUUGCAGCUAUGAAUUAUUCCAAUUAAUUAUAGAUAAAAUUUGAUUUUUCUAACUAAUUUAAAAUUAUAGAAAAAUUUUGUACUAAAGUAUACCAUAUUAUAUAUUCAUUGCGUAGACCUACUCAUGCGGAGUCUAACAAAAUUAGAUUUUCUAUUUUAUGAUUUUUCUAUGAUUUACUAUGAUUUUUCUGUGAUUCACUAUGAUUUUUCAAAGAUUAUAUGAAAAUAAAUAGGAAAAAAGAAAAAAUCAAAACCACAGUUACAGCAGCAAAACCAUUGUUAUUGUAGCAAAACCGCCAUAAAAGACCGUCCGAAGGUUGAUUUGAACGGUUUUGGAUAGUUCAAGGGGUAAAUUAGACUGUUUCAUAGUUCCGAAGGUAAAGUAGACACCACCUUAUAGUUUAGGGGAUGUAGACUUUUUCCGUUUAAACACCAUAUAAAAGCUACGCAGU